AUGAAGAAGCGGCUUGAGCGGCCGCGAAAUCGGGUCUUGGAGCGGUUUGGAUGUGCCGUUUUUCUUGUUUUUGCAAACUGGGUCGGGUCGAGUAAAAAAAUUAGGUUAAAAACGUUAAAAAAAACCCUAAAUUUUGUAUUCGCAUGGUUUGCUCUCCCUCGCACAUCAUCAUCUCCCCGCAGCUCUCCAUCGCCCAUCACCAUCAUCGAUCUCCGUCUUUCCCUUUUCUCCAUCCCACAUCAUCAACUCUGCUUCAGGUAUUUUGGUUUUGUACCAUCAUAUCUUUAUUUCUGUUUCUUUUAUUUUGUUUUUUCUUCUGUUAUGUGA